GUAAGACAGGUGUAAAUCCCCGGGCUUAACCUGGGAACUGCGCUUGUGACUGCAAGGCUUGAGUGUGGCAGAGGGGGGUGGAAUUCCACGUGUAGCAGUGAAAUGCGUAGAGAUGUGGAGGAACACCGAUGGCGAAGGCAGCCCCCUGGGUCAACACUGACGCUCAUGCACGAAAGCGUGGGUAGCAAACAGGAUUAGAUACCCUGGUAGUCCACGCCCUAAACGAUGCCAACUAGGUGUUGGGGAAGGAGACUUCCUUAGUACCGUAGCUAACGCGUGAAGUUGGCCGCCUGGGGAGUACGGUCGCAAGAUUAAAACUCAAAGGAAUUGACGGGGACCCGCACAAGCGGUGGAUGAUGUGGAUUAAUUCGAUGCAACGCGAAAAACCUUACCUACCCUUGACAUGCCAGGAAUCCCGCUGAGAGGUGGGAGUGCUCGAAAGAGAGCCUGGACACAGGUGCUGCAUGGCUGUCGUCAGCUCGUGUCGUGAGAUGUUGGGUUAAGUCCCGCAACGAGCGCAACCCUUGUCAUUAGUUGCCAUCAUUUAGUUGGGCACUCUAAUGAGACUGCCGGUGACAAACCGGAGGAAGGUGGGGAUGACGUCAAGUCCUCAUGGCUCUUAUGGGUAGGGCUUCACACGUCAUACAAUGGUCGGUACAGAGGGUUGCCAAGCCGCGAGGUGGAGCCAAUCCCAGAGAGCCGAUCGUA
rnacentral:rRNA from 1 species